rnacentral:rRNA from 1 species
AACGAACGCUGGCGGCAGGCCUAACACAUGCAAGUCGAACGCUCCGCAAGGAGAGUGGCAGACGGGUGAGUAACACGUGGGAAUCUUCCUAUCGGUACGGAAUAGCUCAGGGAAACUUGAGGUAAUACCGCAUACGCCCUUCGGGGGAAAGAUUUAUCGCCGAUAGAUGAGCCCGCGUCUGAUUAGCUAGUUGGUGAGGUAACGGCUCACCAAGGCGACGAUCAGUAGCUGGUCUGAGAGGAUGACCAGCCACACUGGGACUGAGACACGGCCCAGGCUCCUACGGGAGGCAGCGGUGGGGAAUAUUGGACAAUGGGCGCAAGCCUGAUCCAGCCAUGCCGCGUGAGUGACGAAGGUCUUCGGAUUGUAAAGCUCUUUUGGCGGGGACGAUAAUGACGGUACCCGCAGAAUAAGCCCCGGCUAACUUCGUGCCAGCCGCCGCCGUAA